rnacentral:misc_RNA from 1 species
GAUGAAGAACGCAGUGAAAUGCGAUAAGUAAUGCGAAUUGCAGAAUUCCAGUGAGUCAUCGAAUCUUUGAACGCAUAUUGCGCCCUUUGGUAUUCCGAAGGGCAUGCCUGUUCGAGCGUCAUUAUCACCCCUCAAGCCCCCUGGGCUUGGUGUUGGGCGACGUCCCCUUUGGGGACGCGCCUCGAAACGCUCGGCGGCGUGGCACCGGCUUUAAGCGUAGCAGAAUCUUUCGCUUUGGAAGUCGGGGCCCCGUCUGCCGGAAGACCUACUCGCAAGGUUGACCUCGGAUCAGGCAGGGAUACCCGCUGAACUUAAGCAUAUCAAUAAGCGGAGGA